ACCCUUCCCGGCCCCCCAGAAAAGCAGCUUCUUGCCGACGCGGGGGAGGAGCCGGGCCCCGUGGCUGGGCCGCCGGAGCCGGGGGUAGCCCACGCACCUCGCCUUCCCCGCCGCCCCGGGGGGACAGGACCCUCCCUCCCUCGGCCCCUCCGCCCCCCCGGCCCCCAGCCUGGCUCUUUAAGUUACUACAGAAACGCGAAGGUCGGGAGGCCCCCUCCCAGCCCGGAGCUUGAACUUGAACGCUCGCGCAGGACCACACCGCCACCUCCCGGCGCGGCCCUAGAACCCGGAGAUUCCGUUCAAAGCACCUAGAAAGUCUAACAAGUUUUUAGUAAAUUGUAGCUGGAAUCAGAGAUCAGAUCGGCGGUCACUCCCAUCCCAGCGGUCAGGAGCCUCCCCAAGCGCUCCCCAGGGGCCUCCUGGAACCGUCGUGCGCCUCCGUGCAUUUCUGUAUACCCCCCCACGCAUCCCCCCCACCCGUCUGUCUUUUGAAGGCUUUACUGGAAAAGCCCUCCUGUGGUUACCUCCUUUCUCCCCUAAGCGGUGGAGGGUUAGAAGGCGGAGGGUGAGCCACAAUCUUAAGGGACACGCUCCUUUUCCCAGAUUUCCCGGCGCAUUCCUUCACCCUGGGAGUGUGAGCUGUCUGCUUGUGGGGUGCAAGGCCCUGUUCCGGAUCCGGGUGAAGAAUCCACGGGAGUCCUGACUGCCAGGAGCUCUACAGCCAGUAGGGUGGUCACUAUCCGCGGCCAGUAGGGUGGGUGGUCACUAUCCGCGGCCAGUAGGGUGGGUGGUCACUAGCUUUCUGCAGUCUUGGAGGACAGCGCUUCCUCCGAAAACUCCACAGGACGUCAGUCUUCGCCAAGUUGCUGAUGGAAAACGUGCUCCUGCAAUGUGUAUUUAUGAGCACCAGGAAACCCGGGUGGGAGCGGGCAUGGCGUUGUGCAUCGCAGCCAGGACCGCACAGCUCUGAAUAGCCGCGGAGAGCAGGAUGGAGAAACGGUGUGUGGCCAUAGUCACAGGACCGGGUCUAGCUGUUCACAGAAAUCCCAAAACGGGCCAAGUUAAACUGCAUUGUUUAGGGAUGCAUCAUUAAGUAGAUCCUGAUGCUUUGAUAAGACCGUGGGCUCUAAUCACAGCCAGGGACGUCUGAGGCAGCCUGGCCUGCAGCUCUGCACACUGGGUGCACCCCGUCUAGAGCGCCAACUCAGGGAGUGAGAAAGGAGGAGGGAGGGGAAGCACAGAGCAAGCUCCUGAGGCCACAGGGCCGAGAAAGCCCUUGGUUUUGGGGGCAUUUGUUUCUUCAAGACUAAAAUGCUCGCACUGGAAUAAAUCAUUGGUUCCUAAAACAUGUUCUGCACAUGAUUAAAGAAGCUUUGUGAAGU